rnacentral:rRNA from 1 species
AUUGAACGCUGGCGGCAGGCCUAACACAUGCAAGUCGAACGGUAACAGGAAACAGCUUGCUGUUUCGCUGACGAGUGGCGGACGGGUGAGUAAUGUCUGGGAAACUGCCUGAUGGAGGGGGAUAACUACUGGAAACGGUAGCUAAUACCGCAUAACGUCGCAAGACCAAAGAGGGGGACCUUCGGGCCUCUUGCCAUCGGAUGUGCCCAGAUGGGAUUAGCUAGUAGGUGGGGCAACGGCUCACCUAGGCGACGAUCCCUAGCUGGUCUGAGAGGAUGACCAGCCACACUGGAACUGAGACACGGUCCAGACUCCUACGGGAGGCAGCAGUGGGGAAUAUUGCACAAUGGGCGCAAGCCUGAUGCAGCCAUGCCGCGUGUAUGAAGAAGGCCUUCGGGUUGUAAAGUACUUUCAGCGGGGAUGAAGGGAGUAAAGUUAAUACCUUUGCUCAUUGACGUUACCCGCAGAAGAAGCACCGGCUAACUCCGU